CAAUAGCGUAUAUUAAAGUUGUUGCGGUUAAAAAGCUCGUAGUUGGAUUUCUGCUGAGAACGACCGGUCCGCCCUUUGGGUGUGUAUCUGGCUCUUUCUUGGCAUCUUCUUGGUGAACGUAGCUGCACUUGACUGUGUGGUGCGGUAUCCAGGACUUUUACUUUGAGGAAAUUAGAGUGUUUCAAGCAGGCUUACGCCUUGAAUACAUUAGCAUGGAAUAAUAAGAUAGGACCUCGGUUCUAUUUUGUUGGUUUCUAGAGCUGAGGUAAUGAUUAAUAGGGAUAGUUGGGGGCAUUCGUAUUUAACUGUCAGAGGUGAAAUUCUUGGGUUUGUUAAAGACGGACUACUGCGAAAGCAUUUGCCAAGGAUGUUUUCAUUGA
rnacentral:rRNA from 1 species